rnacentral:tRNA from 1 species
GGAGAGGUGGCAGAGCGGUUGAAUGCGACGGUCUUGAAAACCGUUUAACCUUCAAAGGGUUACGUGGGUUCGAAUCCCACCCUCUCCG